rnacentral:misc_RNA from 1 species
GAUGAAGAACGUAGCGAAAUGCGAUAAGUAAUGUGAAUUGCAGAAUUCAGUGAAUCAUCGAAUCUUUGAACGCACCUUGCGCCCUUUGGCCAUUCCGAAGGGCAUGCCUGUUUGAGUAUCAUGAACACCUCAACUCUUCAUGGUUUUCCAUGAUGAGCUUGGACUUUGGGGGCCUUGCUGGCCUGUGGGUCGGCUCCUCUCAACUGAAUCAGCUUGCCGGUUUUUGGUGGGCAUCACAGGUGUGAUAACUAUCUACGCUUGUGGUUUUCCACCAGGGUAACCUUCAGCAGUGGAGGUUCACUGGAGCUUACAAAUGUCUCUCCUCUGUGAGGACAGCCCUUUGAAUGUUUGAUCUCAAAUCAGGUAGGACUACCCGCUGAACUUAAGCAUAUCAAUAAGCGGAGGA